GCGGCGGCGGCGCGUUCCGUUCCUGGCCGAGGCUCGCGGCGGAAAAGUUGCGCGGCGGCGAGGAGCGGCCGCGGGACGGGCGGCGAGCGCGACGCCGAGCCGGCUCCCCGCGCCCGCGGCUCCCCCGCCAUGGACGACCUCGACGCCCUGCUGGCGGACCUGGAGUCCACAACCUCUCACAUCUCCAAGCGGCCUGUGUUCUUGUCUGAGGAGACCCCCUACUCCUACCCGACUGGGAACCACACGUACCAGGAGAUCGCCGUGCCCCCCGUCCCACCGCCCCCAUCCAGCGAGGCCCUCAAUGGCACGGUUCUCGACCCCUUAGACUCCUGGCCACCCAGCACCUCCCGAUUCACCCACCAGCAGCCUCAGUCCUCAUCCCCCGUGUACGGCUCCAGUGCCAAGACUUCCAGUGCCUCCAACCCCCAGGACGGCGGCGGGCUCCCGUGUCCCCGAGCCGGCGAGGAAGACCACGUGUACAGUUUCCCCAACAAGCAGAAGUCAGCAGAGCCUUCACCCACCGUCAUGAGCUCCUCCUUGGGCAGCAACCUCUCCGAGCUCGACCGCCUGCUGCUGGAGCUGAACGCCGUGCAGCAUAACCCCCCGGGUUUCCCUGCAGAUGAGGCCAACUCCAGCCCACCGCUGCCAGGGGCACUGAGCACCCACUACGGCGUCCCAGAGAAUAACAGCCUGCUGGGGGGCAAAGCUGGACCACUGACCAAAGAGAAGCCCAAGCGGAACGGUGGCCGGGGCCUGGAGGACUUGCGGCCCAGCGUGGAGAACCUCUUGGAUGAGCUGGAGAGCUCUGUGCCCAGUCCCGUCCCCGCCAUCACUGUGAACCAGGGCGAGAUGAGCAGUCCCCAGCGAGUCACCUCCAGCCAGCAGCAGACGCGCAUCUCAGCCUCCUCUGCCACCAGGGAGCUGGACGAGCUGAUGGCCUCACUGUCGGAUUUUAAGACCAGCUCCUCCUCUGCUGUGGCCUUGAGCUCCUCAGGGCUGCCACCCGGCUCAGCUCCAUCCUCACACCACAGCCUCCCUACUCCACCUCCUCCCGGGCCCUCUGGAGGCCUGCCACCCCCUCGGAAGCCCUCCCCUCAAGGCCACAGCCACACCCUGGGCGUCCUCUGCGCGGAGGACAACGUGGCCCCCGGCCAGCUCGAUUUGGCUGGCUUUGGGGUGAUGCCUGACACCCCCAACUCAAGGUUUCCCUCCACAGAGGGUUGGCCAGGGCCGCUGGGUGUAGAGAGCCAGGCUAGCGUUUGGAGGGAUCCACCAGACCUGGUUGGGGAGCUCUGCAGGACGCCUCCCGGCCACACUCUACCCUACACUGGGGGCACAGGUCCCCAGGAGCCUGGGGGCCCCCAAGCACCGUCGGCCAAUGCUUUGCGCCCGGAAGAGGCGGUGGCUGCCACUUGGCAGGGGCCUUGGGCUCUGGGGGCGCUGAGGCCUGAGCCCCCGCAGGGAACUGCGCCCAGCUUCCAGGAGGUCACUGAGCCGGCCGUCGUGGUCGUGGACCGUCAGGCCGUCUUCCCGGAUACCUGGAGCCUCACGAAGGAACGUGGAUGGCAGGAGAGGGCAAGGCCAGAGCCAGGGCCGCCAGAGAGUGGCCGCUGCACCCCCGUUGAGGAUGAGCAGCUAGGUGGAGAGACACCCUCGGCGGGUGGCCUGGUCAGGCCAGCCCAGGGACCCGAGACCCCCAGGAAUCCAGAGGGCGCCACUGAAGCCGCCACCGAGGCCAGGACGGACCGGCCAGAACUCCCGCGGGCUGUGGCCGUGGACACGCCCAGCACCACGGAGAGAAUUUCCACAUCUAGCCAGGCAGGCGCACGCUCGCCCUGCUCGGCGUGGCCCCGCCUGGCUGACUGCAUGCGGCCUCCCUGUCUGCGCAUGUCUGCUUGGGCGGCCGGUUGCAAGAGGCUGUGGCCCGAGACCCUGAUGGCCAGCGCUGGGCAGUGGGCUCCAUGGAGCUGGCGGAGCUCCUUGGGUCCCGGAAUCUCCUAGUGACAGCCAGCCUCUUGCCCGAUGAAGGCUUUUUCCUUUAGAUGAGCUUCGCCUGACAUCCUGAUGGGAUGUGUGUGGAAUGGUUAAAAGCAUGGGCUUUGGAACCAGCAAGAAGUGAAUGAAUACAAACCACACCUCCAACACGUGCGCCCCGUGUGACCUUGGGCAACCCCCCGACCACCAGCCUCAGUCUUCUCAUCUUUAAAAUGAGGGAAAAUAGACCAUUUCCCCCAAGGCUGUCCAAAGGAUUAAAUCAAACAAUGCCUGGAAAGUGCUUCGGAAGAGCACAGCACGCCGUCCCCAGUGAGCUGUGCCUGACAUCAUGUUAUCUGCUUGAUUGAAAUUUUUAGGCCCUUUUCAAAAGCGACAACAGAAUGAAACCAAACUGCUAGAAACAAGUAGGUUAUAAUCCUACUUAUAUAAACAAGGAAAAAAACACAACUGGUUAAAGGAUAUACUGGAAGAAAAGACUAUUUUUUUUUGUUUCUAUUAAGAAACAACAACAAAAAAAGGAAAACUCUCAAGUUCGUUCGAGAAUGUCCACUUAGAUUCUUUCACAUCAUUCUUGUAAUAACUCCUUAAAGCAGUUGAAAAAAAAAAAAUACCAUUACCCCAUUUCAAGGAUGGAGAAGCUGAGGCUCUGGAAGUUCAGGGUCUUACCCAAGGUCAGGGCCCCCUGCCUCUGCCCUAGCUCUGCUUGGCUCAUCUCUGAUGGUUGGGUUCUUCUGCCCUCCCCUCCUGGGCACCCCCCGACCCCCACCCCCGAGUGUGGACUGAGCCGCCUCCGCUGAGCCCAGAGUGGCCUGUGACAGCGUGCCUCCCCACUAGAUCCGCUCGGUGAUCAGGAGGAGCCGGGAGACUGGCCACGCUCACCCCAUGUCCCGGGAGCCCUCCCCUCGCCGCCGGCUGGACCCCGCCACCCUAAGCAGGACCCCCUCCCAGGAGCGGCUCAUCGCCGAGCUGCAGGGUCGGCUGGGCAUCCGGCCGGAGGCAGAGGAGGCCGCGGGGGCCGCAGGGGCCUCCACCGAGGAUUGGCUGACCGAGGGCGUCAUCAUCACCGUGCAGCCGCGUGGGAGGCGGGCUGGGGGGCAGCUGGUGGAGAAGGUCGUCUUCCCUCCUGGCUCUCCUCUUCCCCUGCGGAGAACCUUCUCUGUUCUGCCUUCUCCUCUUCCUCCUCCCAGCCCUCUGCUCCAGCACCGCAAAGACGCCUCCUCGGCCAGCAACUCUCCUCCCCUUCCCAGCCCGCCCCCCCCCUGCGGCCCCUCUGGGGUCCAGAGCACUGAGACGGGGCUGAGGAGAGUCAGUGUGCAGGGCCCCGCCCCUCACGCGGCUGCAGCCUGCUCCGUGAGGUCCAUAGGCUGCCAGACCAACGAGGAUCCGCUCUUCCCCCCGAUGCAGGCAGGCCUCCUGGGGGCCCGGCCCCACCUGUGCCUGUCCUUAUGCUCCAGCGGCAUCCCCACUCUGCACACACACACACGCACACAAACACACACACAUACACACAGCUCUCUGUCUGUCCAUCCAUAAGAUAUUAUGUCCAUCCUUGCACUUGGCCUUGUGCCUUCAUCCACAAGGUACCUGCGAAGUACCACAGCCCUUCCUUGGACUUGGCCUUGACCCUGGACCCUCGCUUUACCCGAUGUCCAUGCUCGCUCCCUCCCCUGAGGUGUCAGCCACCCCUUGGUCCCUCCCCAGGCUCCCUCUGAGGACGCUGUCCUCAGAAGGAAAACCAAGCAGGCCUGGUACCUGGCAAAGCCCCCUGGCUCUCUGACCCAUCACCUCUGCCCCCUCAGUCCGCGCCUUUGGCGGGCUUACCUCUCUCUUCCUCUUCAUCUCUCCCUGGGCCCGUCUCUCUCGUGGUGGUUUUCCCGUAGACUUUUUCUCCUGAUUUUCGUUACUGCCAGUAGGGGGGAAAAAUCCAUUCUCUUAUCUCAUUCUGAAGUCCCUGUUGUGACAUGGUCUAGUGAAAAGUUCUCUUACUCUUUUUUCCUUAAAAAAAAAUAAAAGCAAUCCUUCUCAUUUCCUCC